rnacentral:rRNA from 1 species
UAAUACGUAGGAAGCGAGCGUUGUCCGGAUUUACUGGGCGUAAAGGGCGUGUAGGCGGAGCGGCGCAUCCUGGAGUAAAUCUAUCGGCUUAACUGAUAGGCUUUCUAGGAGAUGGCCGCCCUUGAGGACAGCAGAGGAAAGUAGAAUUCCCGGUGUAGCGGUGAAAUGCGUAGAUAUCGGGAGGAAUACCAGUGGCGAAGGCGACUUUCUGGGCUGUUCCUGACGCUGAGGCGCGAAAGCCAGGGGAGCAAACGGGAUUAGAUACCCCGGUAGUCCUGGCUGUAAACGAUGGAUACUAGGUGUAGGCGGUUUUGACCCCGUCUGUGCCGCAGCUAACGCAAUAAGUAUCCCGCCUGGGGAGUACGGCCGCAAGGUUG